rnacentral:rRNA from 1 species
AGAACGAACGCUGGCGGCAUGCCUAACACAUGCAAGUCGAACGAGACCUUCGGGUCUAGUGGCGCACGGGUGCGUAACGCGUGGGAAUCUGCCCUAGGGUGCGGAAUAACUCGGAGAAAUCCGUGCUAAUACCGCAUAAUGUCUUCGGACCAAAGAUUUAUCGCCCUGGGAUGAGCCCGCGUAGGAUUAGCUAGUUGGUGGGGUAAAAAGCCUACCAAGGCGACGAUCCUUAGCUGGUCUGAGAGGAUGAUCAGCCACACUGGGACUGAGACACGGCCCAGACUCCUACGGGAGGCAGCAGUGGGGAAUAUUGGACAAUGGGCGAAAGCCUGAUCCAGCAAUGCCGCGUGAGUGAUGAAGGCCCUAGGUUGUAAAGCUCUUUUACCCGGGAUGAUAAUGACAGUACCGGAGAAUAAGACUCCGGCUAACUCCGUGCCAGCAGCCGC